UUAUUGAUGAUGGCGAACACUUUCCCAACCAACCUACAGUAUUUAAAUAACCAUCACCCAAAUUAUAUUGAACAAUCAUGUAUAAAAAAUCAUCAAUAAUAGGACCCAAAGUCCCAAAUUACAGACAAUAAUCUUACCUUGUGCUGCUGAUGAUGGCGAACGAAGAUAAAGGCAGUGACGAGCGACAGAAGAGAAAAUCGUUUCAAGAACUGAGGUGACAGAGACGAUAGUUGCAACUUCGGAAUGUGGUGGCGUCGUUGUUUUUUAACUUAGGGCUAGCGAUUAGGGUGUGUGUGUGUGUUGCGGUACGGAGAAGGAGAUUAGGGCUUAUGUUUUAUUUUAUUUUUUAAAAUUUUGCCUUUUAUAACUCUUUUGUUUCUAUUUUUUAUUUUUACAGUAAACCCGUUCGGGUUUUUAAUUCAGUUCGGGUUGAAUCUGAACUGAAAUAAAAAAUGAUCCG
rnacentral:lncRNA from 1 species